CUACGGGAGGCAGCAGUGGGGAAUAUUGGACAAUGGGCGAAAGCCUGAUCCAGCCAUGCCGCGUGUGUGAAGAAGGCCUUCGGGUUGUAAAGCACUUUCAGUGGGGAAGAAAGCCUUGGGGCUAAUACCCUCGAGGAAGGACAUCACCCACAGAAGAAGCACCGGCUAACUCCGUGCCAGCAGCCGCGGUAAUACGGAGGGUGCGAGCGUUAAUCGGAAUUACUGGGCGUAAAGCGCGCGUAGGCGGUCUGAUAAGCCGGUUGUGAAAGCCCCGGGCUCAACCUGGGAACGGCAUCCGGAACUGUCAGGCUAGAGUGCAGGAGAGGAAGGUAGAAUUCCCGGUGUAGCGGUGAAAUGCGUAGAGAUCGGGAGGAAUACCAGUGGCGAAGGCGGCCUUCUGGACUGACACUGACGCUGAGGUGCGAAAGCGUGGGUAGCAAACAGGAUUAGAUACCCUAGUAGUC
rnacentral:rRNA from 1 species